CAACAGCUGAGAUGUCACCAUGCCACCCACAAGGGACCUGGGACUCACACUGGGGUUGCUGGCCUUCCCAGGCCUGUUGGUCAGUCAGGGGACAUUUGGAGACAUCUAUGGCCCUGUCUCUGGCCACCAGACUCUCCUGAGAACGAUCCCCAAAGAAUGACGAUUUCACCCUGAACUGCAUGUGGAGGGAAAGCUGGGUGUCCUGGGACAGGAAGAACUUUCUUCCCUGGGUAAGAUCCCACACGGUUCUGUCAGGCCAUUGUGCCGAAGAGACCGGAGCAGCACCUGGACCAGCAGGGCUUGGCUGCGCACACUCUUACCUUCUAUUCGGAUCUAGACGUCAGGUCAGCACCUGGAGGAUGCACUUGGGAAAUGGCCACUGGGUCCCUUCAUUCGUUCGUUCCUCUUCCCAAUGUGACCAUAAUGAAUAAAUCUCUUUGCUUACCUUCUCA
ensembl:lincRNA Gm28415 predicted gene 28415